UUCCGGUUGAUCCCGCCAGACCUGACUGCUAUCGGAUUGAUACUAAGCCAUGCGAGUCAUUGUAGCAAUACAAGGCAUACGGCUCAGUAACGCGUAGUCAACCUAACCUAUGGACGGGAAUAACCUCGGGAAACUGAGAAUGAUGCCCGAUAGAACAUUAUACCUGGAAUGGUUUAUGUUCCAAAUGAUUUAUCGCCGUAGGAUGGGACUGCGGCCUAUCAGUUUGUUGGUGAGGUAAUGGCCCACCAAGACUAUUACAGGUACGGGCUCUGAGAGGAGUAGCCCGGAGAUGGGUACUGAGACACGGACCCAGGCCCUAUGGGGCGCAGCAGGCGAGAAAACUUUGCAAUGUGCGAAAGCACGACAAGGUUAAUCCGAGUGAUUUCUGCUAAAGAAAUCUUUUGUUAGUCCUAGAAACACUAACGAAUAAGGGGUGGGCAAGUUCUGGUGUCAGCCGCCGCGGUAAAACCAGCACCUCAAGUGGUCAGGAUGAUUAUUGGGCCUAAAGCAUCCGUAGCCGGCUCUGUAAGUUUUCGGUUAAAUCUGUACGCUUAACGUACAGGCCGCCGGGAAUACUGCAAAGCUAGGGAGUGGGAGAAGUAGACGGUACUCGGUAGGAAGUGGUAAAAUGCUUUGAUCUAUCGAUGACCACCUGUGGCGAAGGCGGUCUACUAGAACACGUCCGACGGUGAGGGAUGAAAGCUGGGGGAGCAAACCGGAUUAGAUACCCGGGUAGUCCCAGCUGUAAACUAUGCAAACUCAGUGAUGCAUUGGCUUGUGGCCAAUGCAGUGCUGCAGGGAAGCCGUUAAGUUUGCCGCCUGGGAAGUACGUACGCAAGUAUGAAACUUAAAGGAAUUGGCGGGGGAGCACCACAAGGGGUGAAGCCUGCGGUUCAAUUGGAUUCAACGCCGGG
rnacentral:rRNA from 1 species